UCCCUGGUGGUCUAGUGGUUAGGAUUUGGCGCUUUCACCGUCACGGCCCGGGUUCGAUUCCCGGUCAGGGAA
rnacentral:tRNA from 1 species